GGCAGGAGUUACACCAGAUACUAAAUCUGAGGAUUCGGAUGAUGACGAGGACUACACUGACACAGUAGUUAAAGGAAUAAUAGGUGCGGUGAGUGCAGUAGCAGGAGUUGGAUCACUAGUUGUCGCUUUUUUGGCUUACAGGCGCUCCACGAAGCAGGAUGAGCAGAAGAGUAAAAAAUACAGAACUACGAUAAAUGACAGUAGAAGUGAACAAGGCACAAGUCCCAAGAACACGGUAAAAUGAAAAUGGUUCAAAAAAGGUUACAAGUAGUUGUUUGCAGGAUUCUUGCAACCAUGGGACUCAACGAAACCAUGUAUUGGCUGACAAUGAAUAGUCUAUAUUUGUGUAAUUUAAUUCGUUUUAAAGUUUUUAAAACGAUGCAUGUACUAGUAACAAUGCUCGUUUGUUUUAUUUAUGAAACUCAUACUAAAUUCUGAUUUAUUUAUAUCUAACCGAGUAAUAUUUAACAUUUUAAAACAUCACCAAACAGUUAGUUCUGAUAUGCAUAUCGUAUAAUCCAUAUACAUACAUGUAGAAUGCUUGACAAUUUGUUUUGAUUGGUUUUAUCUCAUUCCUCUGGCUAAUUUUUCGGUGAUGAUAAUAAAUCAUCAAAACUAUUUUAACUUUUGUAUGUAUAUGCAUCUAAUUA